UAGGGAAUCUUCCACAAUGGACGCAAGUCUGAUGGAGCAACGCCGCGUGAGUGAAGAAGGUUUUCGGAUCGUAAAGCUCUGUUGUUGGUGAAGAAGGAUAGAGGUAGUAACUGGCCUUUAUUUGACGGUAAUCAACCAGAAAGUCACGGCUAACUACGUGCCAGCAGCCGCGGUAAUACGUAGGUGGCAACCGUUGUCCGGAUUUAUUGGGCGUAAAGCGAGCGCAGGCGGAAGAAUAAGUCUGAUGUGAAAGCCCUCGGCUUAACCGAGGAACUGCAUCGGAAACUGUUUUUCUUGAGUGCAGAAGAGGAGAGUGGAAUUCCAUGUGUAGCGGUGGAAUGCGUAGAUAUAUGGAAGAGCACCAGUGGCGAAGGCGACUCUCUGGUCUGCAACUGACGCUGAGGCUCGAAAGCAUGGGUAGCGAACAGG
rnacentral:rRNA from 1 species